rnacentral:rRNA from 1 species
CCUANGGGUGGCAGCAGCAAGGAAUAGUAGGCAAUGGGCGAAAGCCUGACCUCGCGACGCCGCGUGAAGGAUGAAGGCCUUCGGGUCGUAAACUUCUUUUUUCAGGGAUGAAUAAUGACAGUACCUGGAGAAUAAGUCACGGCUAACUACGUGCCAGCAGCCGCGGUAAUACGUAGGUGGCUAGCGUUAUCCGGAUUUACUGGGCGUAAAGCGUGCGCAGGCGGCCUUUCAAGUCAGGUGUAAAAUCUCCCGGCUCAACUGGGAGGGACCAUCUGAUACUGUUGGGCUAGAGUGCAGCAGAGGAAAGCGGAAUUCCCGGUGUAGUGGUGGAAUGCGUAGAUAUCGGGAGGAACACCAGUGGCGAAAGCGGCUUUCCAGGCUGUUACUGACGCUGUUGCACGAAAGCGUGGGUAGCAAACAGGAUUAGAUACCCGGNUANUC